AGCUUGUCAUGAGGACACAACGGUGUGCUAAGAAGAACAAGAAAUUCAAGAAAGAAUGUUUAUUAGAAGAGUGACACUGAUACCUGCUCGGUUUUUUGAUUUAACAGACUCCGGACUAGCAGUCACGGCAGAUGAUACAGACUGGAUGAAGCUACCUGCGAACCAGACAUGUGCACGCAAGGAUGCUGUACUGUGGAGUUUCUCAAGCUCCACUUCCCCCUCCCUCAAGCAGAACUUAACUAUCAGCUUACUGACCUGAAGCCCAGCUCUUUCAUUUCUCAAGCCUGCAGAUGGGAGACUUCAAAGAUGUGGUUAGGAAAGAUGUUGGAGCCAUUGUGAACAAAAUGUAUCCUGCCAGCAAAAGCUUUGCCUUCAUACUGUGUGGAAUAAAGUCUGCCUACUCAAACCUGAGAGCUGGUGUUCUCACACCCAGAAAACUACCAGCCCGGUAGCAGCAGCCACUGGUGCAGUCGCAACUCACAACCCAAGUUCAGCCUGGACCUCUGCCUGCUGCACACGUCUCCUGCUGUUGGUCCCUGAGCUGCUGCAAUACAACCUGAGCUGAUCUUGUCUGAUGCAGAACGACAUAGUUCCUGCUCUGUCUGCCUCCCACUGCUUAUCAUCGUGACCCAAAUCCUGCCUGUGUUAAUGCUGGUCACAGCCCAGAUUCUGUCUGGGGACCUGAAUGUCAGCAGGCAGGUUUUUACACAGAUGGACGAGGUGUUGGACCAGAGUAGGAUGUCAGAAGCUAACGGCAUCAGCAGUGCUGCACAGCAUCUUCAGUAUCAACACUGACCAUUGUGUGCCUUGGGAAGACAUCUCACAGUUCUAUAUGCUGUAUUGUGAGCUUAUUGCUGGUGAGGAACACAGGAGGAAAUCCAGUUUAGCUAAUUCAGACCGCCUUCAUUUUUCCAUCUGUUUUAUUUAAUUUACAGAAUUCAAUCAAAUCAAAAAUGUACUGCUUAAAUUACAAUCUUAAAAACUAGAGAAAUGGGGUGUUCCUAAACUUUUGACCGGUAGCGUAUUUCUAACACUGUUGUCAUGGCAUCCAACUUUUCAGUAAUCCUUUUGAGUCUGGCAGUUUUUUACAGUGGUGACUGGAAGGGGUUCACAGUGUCAGUGGAUUCCUCUGAAGGUGUUGCAGUUUUUGUGGUUUUCUUGCAUCAUCAGAGGCCGCAGCUCAUCAUAAAUAUCUGCAAUAUUCUCAGAGGUUUUGUCAGCCAGCAGCAGCUUCUCAGACUUGAUAAUGUGUGCAUUUUGAAGCUGGGUCUGGGCAACAUGACAUAAAAUCCAUAUGCUUUUCAUUGACCUCA